rnacentral:tRNA from 1 species
ACAUUGGUGGUUCAGUGGUAGAAUUCUUGCCUUCCACGAUGGAGAUACAGGUUUGAUUCCUGGCUAGUAUA